ensembl:misc_RNA
UUGGUAUCAUAUGGGACUGAACUUCUCAAUUUAUCCAAAUUACAGAUAUGUUGCAGGCAGUGCAAUUUUCCGUAAGCUAUCUUGUCAACAUGUCUCAACCCUGACCUACUUAUAGCACUUCCAAAGAUGAAUGCAUUUUUCAGUCUCCAUGUUCAGUCAACCCUUGGUGUCU